rnacentral:rRNA from 1 species
UAUGAAGGGGGCUAGCGUUGCUCGGAAUCACUGGGCGUAAAGGGUGCGUAGGCGGGUCUUUAAGUCAGGGGGGAAAUCCUGGAGCUCAACUCCAGAACUGCCUUUGAUACUGAGGAUCUUGAGUUCGGGAGAGGUGAGUGGAACUGCGAGUGUAGAGGUGAAAUUCGUAGAUAUUCGCAAGAACACCAGUGGCGAAGGCGGCUCACUGGCCCGAUACUGACGCUGAGGCACGAAAGCGUGGGGAGCAAACAGG